rnacentral:lncRNA from 1 species
GUCCCACUUUAUGCUAUGUUGCAGGCAAAGAAGCAUCCACCUAGUCUUUGACACCCUAGUCUGUUUUUAAUGUUGUUAAUAUUAACUCAUUAACUGGCAAUGUGAAUGUGCCCUACUUAGUAUUUACUCUGUCUAACACCAGACAAUUAAUUACUCGUCAGUGGUAGAGUACUGCCAGCAGGGAUGGAUUUGCUGGGGGGGGGAUGCACUCCCUAGCCCUGGCCAGAGGGGGUGCAGGGGGUAAAGCAAAAAAUUCAUGAUAAAGCAAAAAAUUAUUAGAGAUGAAAUGAGAUACAGUAAUUUGAGUAAUAACAUGAUGAUAAGCGAACUGUGAACAACAAUUACAAUUCAAAUACAGUAGUCAAGCAAGAUUUUGCAGUAGUUCAGAAGCAAGUUGAUGGGCAGGCGGCACACAUGACUGACACAACUCGGCACCAGAGCUGGCAGAGCACCCCCCCCCCCCCCCCCCCCCCNNNNNNNNNNNNNNNNNNNNCCCCCCCCCCCUACCAGAUCAUGCUGGAUCCAUCCCUGACUGCCAGUAAAUGGGUAAAUUAUAAAAGUGAAUGUUAAAUAUGAAUUAAGUUGAAAUCGGUUGUAAUAACCAACUGAUUCAUUAACCCAUUGAGUUGCAAGACUCCCCUUGAUGAGUAAAAUCAUCUAGCGUUAGACAGAGUAAAGAUUUAUUGUGUUAUCUGCCGCUGUUGGAAGAUCCUUAAUUCCUUGAACAUUUUACUAAAGACUUGGUGUUCAUCUGCUGCUGUUGGAAAAUCCUUUUCCUUGAACAUUUUACUAAAAAUUUACUGUGUUAUUGUGCAUAAUUUCUAGGGAAAAUAUAAGAAAAACUUUUAAAUUUUAAAUUUGUGGACCCAGGGGGAGGGACCGGGGGGCAACAUUUUCUGGGGGGGUCCCCCAGCUCUGGCUAGAUUACUGUACAGUAUUCCCUAAAGCAAUAAAAUAUUAUUAAUAUUUCUAAAUUUUAAAUUUGUGGACCCAGGGGAAGAGACAGCUUAACCAAGGCAUACAAAAGUUAGAUGUACCGGGGGGGCAACAUUUUCUGGGGGGGCCCCCCGGCUCUGGCUAGGUUACUGUACAGUAUUCCCUAAAGCAAUAAAAUAUUAUUAAUAUUUCUAACUAAUAAUUAUUACUAAUUAUUAGUAAAUAUUUAUUAUUUAUGUUGCUCUAAUAGUCAAUUAGUCAAGCCGGACUACAAGAUUCAAAUGCUAAUGGACCAAUUGCACAAGGCAGAUUAAAAGAGUGACUAACAGACUAACAGUGAUGCGACCGUAGUUGGGUUUCAAUCUGAAUCAUGUGACACUUUAGUACUUGGUGGUCAACUCCAAAAGGAAACACAUCGAGUUCAUUAUUCAUUAUAUUAAUUCACCUUGUAAUUCAAUAGCAAAUACAGAACAUUUAACAAAAUUUGCUCACUUCCACAAGGCAUAUAAAGCGACAAACGUGCAAAGUUGACCACCAUGUGUUUUCCUAUGAAUGUGUCACCAAUAUUAUUAAAUACUAUGCCACAUGUGGGCUAUAUUUUUCCCUUGGAAAAUAAAAACAUGUUGCGACAAUGUUUAUGAGUUAAAAUGAUUUUAAAAUUAACCCCAAAUAGGUAAUAAAAG